GGUUUACAGUGGAAAUGGCAUAAUGUCUAGAGUUGGUUUAAAAUAGUUUAGAAAACAAACAACAAACAACAAGGGUGGGAGGGUAUAAAUGAAAACAAACGGACAAACGCCGUAACUGUUCGAGCUGACCGACGGACAGACGCCGUAACUGUUCGAGCUGACCGAUGGAUACAAAGAUCGUUUUUACCCUGCUCUUCCUGCUUUUAUGUUUGAAAAUUGUGCACAAUAGAAAUCAUGAUCUCAAUUCAUUUGCCUUAGAAAUGAGCACAUCCACAAACUGAAAACUCCACUUUCUUGAAUUAGUGAUUAGUUUGCAGAGGCAUUCUUUACCGGGAUUGCUUUUGGAGCUACCCACAUCAAGCCAGAGUCGUUUUUGUCCCUGGAUGCCUCUUUUCUCUCCGCACGGUGUGCAGAGACUCGGAGGCCCAGCGGAUCGCCGCACUGUUACGUCAGGCUGAAAUCAGCUCGAGAGCUCAGCCAGCACCACAGAACAUAGACGACGGUCUGCCCUGCGCUACAAAAUCCCGGCGAGGUGCCAGGAUUCACUUUACUUUCUGUGACAUUGUGGGGAUGAGGGGAAGGAACGUCUUUCUGUUACGUUUCACCAGGGGUGGGGUGGGGGGAGAGGGCAGGAGGCCUGGAAUCAGGAGUGCCUCCCUGUCUUUACCCACCAUUGAAGGAACCCAGAAUCUCCUCUAUCUGCUAUGGACGUGCCCAUGAGAAGGAAGGGCAAUCUCAUGUUUGCCGUUAGGAACACACAGGAAGAGAAGUGUUCUUGGCAUUCUUAUACUGCAACAAGUGCUACCUUUCCUUAUAGAAACCAAGAUAGUGCUUCCUCCAAGAUGAACUCCAAGAUGAACUCCGAGAUGAACAAACACCGUGUGGAGAAGCAUGAGGAAUUGGGCGGUUGUCAGAGAAGCCUGAGAACUGCUUGGUUACAUCCAUUCAUCAUGGAAACAUCAGGUGAGACUAGUAUUUCUUGGAACACACUAUGGAAAAUGCCACCUUUGACCAAACUGUUUUCAACUCAAGUCUCAAGUGGAUAAUGGACUGUUAACUUCAGUUUCUUUCUUUUUGGGUCUAUGAUUGUCA
rnacentral:lncRNA from 1 species